GUAGGUGAACCUGCGGAAGGAUCAUUAUAGAAAUAAGAUGCUGGCUUAACGGCCGGCAUUUUACCCUUCUUAUCCAUAACACCUGUGCACUGUUGGAUGCUUGCAUCCACUUUUAUACUAAACAAUUUGUAACAAAUGUAGUCUUAUUAUAAUUAAUAAAACUUUUAACAACGGAUCUCUUGGCUCUC
rnacentral:misc_RNA from 1 species